GAGCUUUUUCCUCCCCUCAGCAGCUCCUCUCUGGCUCGUGGCUGCCUUCUGAGUGUUGCAGACGGCGCCGGCCGGGAAGGGGGGCCUGGGCCAGCCCUGCCAGGACUGGGACGCUGCUGCUGGCGCCUGGCCCUCCAUCAGGCCAGCCUGUGGCAGGAGAGCGAGCUUUGCCGCGGCAGACGCCUGAGGAUGAUGCCCCAGCUGCAGUUCAAAGAUGCCUUUUGGUGCAGGGACUUCACAGCCCACACGGGCUACGAGGUGCUGCUGCAGCGACUUCUGGAUGGCAGGAAGAUGUGCAAAGACAUGGAGGAGCUACUGAGGCAGAGGGCCCAGGCAGAGGAGCGGUACGGGAAGGAGCUGGUGCAGAUCGCACGAAAGGCAGGCGGCCAGACUGAGAUCAACUCCCUGAGGGCCUCCUUUGACUCCUUGAAGCAGCAAAUGGAGAAUGUGGGCAGCUCACACAUCCAGCUGGCCCUGACCCUGCGCGAGGAGCUGCGGAGUCUCGAGGAGUUUCGUGAGAGGCAGAAGGAGCAGAGGAAGAAGGGGAGCUUCCCGAGGCCGCGGCCCUCGGCUGAGAACCUCGUGUCCCCUGCAGUAUGAGGCCGUCAUGGACCGGGUCCAGAAGAGCAAGCUGUCACUCUACAAGAAGGCCAUGGAGUCCAAGAAGACAUACGAGCAGAAGUGUCGGGACGCGGAUGACGCCGAGCAGGCCUUCGAGCGCAUUAGCGCCAACGGCCACCAGAAGCAGGUGGAGAAGAGUCAGAACAAAGCCAGGCAGUGCAAGGACUCGGCCACCGAGGCAGAGCGGGUAUACAGGCAGAGCAUCGCGCAGCUGGAGAAGGUCCGGGUCGAGUGGGAGCAGGAGCACCGGACCACCUGUGAGGCCUUUCAGCUGCAAGAGUUUGACCGGCUGACCAUUCUCCGCAACGCCCUGUGGGUGCACAGCAACCAGCUCUCCAUGCAGUGUGUCAAGGAUGAUGAGCUCUAUGAGGAAGUGCGGCUGACGCUGGAAGGCUGCAGCAUAGACGCAGACAUCGACGGCUUCAUCCAGGCCAAGAGCACGGGCACAGAGCCCCCCGGUGAGGCCCGGCCUGCAGACAGCGCAGCCUCUGGGUGCACUGAGCCCCUGGGAAGGGCCGGCCCUGAGCCUCAAGUGCCAGGACAGGGCUAGGGUAGCUCACAGCUCCCUUCCGGGCAGAGGAGCCCUAGCAGGGGUUGUGGGGGGUUGGGUCCCAGGCCUGCUGCCUCCUCUCAGGCAAAGCUAAGGGCACGAUGGCACUCAGAGGAAGGGGUGGGGAUGGGGAUUGAGGUGAGGAGCUCCCACAGCCCCCACUCCCCGCCUGUUUGGUUCCACUGGAUCACGGGUCCAGAAUAUUAGGUCUUGAUGGUACCUACGGUGGGGUCUCUCAUGGGAGCAAGACAGGCACCUCCCCCGGGCACCACGAUGGGCCAGGGCCAGACUGGGAAUGUAGGGCCCCAGCUGAGUCUCUGGCAGGGCCAGAAUGGGGUGUUGGGGGCCGCCCUGGGGCUCACGGCUUGCUGUCUGCAGCU
rnacentral:sRNA from 1 species